CCAAGCUGGGGCUGCUGGGUAGCUGAGGGCAGCUGCCAUGGCUCAUAGGAAGAGGAGAGUGAAAGCAGGAAGGAGGCUUGAGGGGGCCGGCUCUGAGAGGCACAAGGCACAACCCAGGGAAAGGCCUCAGAAAAAGCCAGUGUUGCCAGGAAGAGGGAUGGAGGAAGCAAGAAGGAAAGAAUGAGCAAGAGGACCAUAAGGAGCAGAUGAGGAGAAACAUUGUACCAGCAACGCCCUGGCCCGGGCCUCAUCUGAGGGCCUGGUGGUGUGGAGGCAAAGGCGUCUUUGGAGGCGCUGCUCGCUGAGGCAGCCAAAGCCUUCCUUCCACCUGGCUGUCACUUGGAGAGCCUGUGAGGUCUUCAGAAGCUCCAGUGUCUUCCACCCUUGUGGCACAUUCCAAGUGUUCCAAAGGCACUCAAGGCUGCUGGCCAAUGUUGGGAGCAAGGUUUAAAAGUCAAAAACUCCACUGGGGCUGGGAAUUUAGCUCAGUGGUUUCUCUGUCUGCUGUGCAAGAGCAAGGACCCGAAGUUCGAUCCCCGUGUACAAAAAAAAAACCCUCCAUGACUCACUCUUCUAACAUUCCAGCAUGCCAGGCCUCUGAGGUUCCAAAAUUCUGCAGCGCGCUAACAUUUUGUAGCAUUACAACUGCGGUUCCGCCAGAUGAAAAUGUUUCAGUACACCCCAAGACUGCUUGUGAAGGCUUUUCCCCACGUGUCUCUGCGUGGAAAGAAGUCCGGACCCAUGGUGAGUCCUGGGGUGGGAGAGGGCAAGGAGCCCUGGCCCCACCAUCUUGCCCAGCCCAGCAGAGAAGGGGGCAGCCGCCACCGCACUGUGCCCCCAGCUCCUCCGCUCUCCGGCCCUGGGCACCAGGCUGGAAGUGACAACUCCUGCCUGAGUCCUCCUCCCUUCCUCUUGGUCUCUGUCCACUUUGGAGAGCCUCUGGGGCCUUCAGCAGCAGAUGGAGUUGGGGAGCAAAACCCCAGAUGGGCUCCCUCGAGCAUGGGACUGGUCUCCAUUUGCUCCGGACUGGAGCCUGGAGACCUGAGAGGGCAGAGGUCAGGGUCUCUGUGGGGCUUGGAAAGCCACAGGCCACACUGAGGGCACCGAUACAGGCCUUUCACAGUGCAGAUGGAGAAACGGAGACCUGAGAGCAAAGGGGUUUCCCAGCUGAGGCACAAGCUGACUCCUGCACUCUGCCAAAAGGGAC
rnacentral:lncRNA from 1 species